ensembl:lncRNA
CGGCGUCGGGACUCCGGCACGCGCACACGACUUGGAGGCAAGCGCGGCAACAAAGCACCCGGACGGGGAACUUGGCUCCGCGCAGCGUCCGAAUGCGGCGGGGACGGCCGGGCGGGAUCGCCAGGAGAGCAACGGAAGGGAUCCGGCGCGGACGCUCCACGCCUAGAGCCGGGCGCCCCCCGAGGGAAUCCCCUCCAGCGGGCGGCCCGGGGGGGUCCUUCCUGGCUGGAGGCAGGCCGCAGGAAAAGCCCAGCUGCCGGCGGGCCCCCCCGCGUCUUCUUCCCACACGCCGCGCCGGCUCCGGUGCCCUUCGGUCCGCUCCGCGUGGUCCGGGGCAGCGGCGGGAGGCUCGGGGCGCGCAGCAGGGGCUGCCCCCCGCGUGCCGGGGAAGUCUUCGGGAGGAGCCUCCCCAAAAAGGAGCGGGCUAAAAGCAGGAGAGAGGCCGCGGAAGCCGGACAACGCGAGCGCCCUCCUGGAAGGGCCGAAUCCUUGCGGUGCUGGGGGGCCACCACCCCCCCCCAGUGCCAGGCCAGCCACGACGGCAUCCCGGGUCUGCCGGCAUCCCGGGUCUCCCAGCGUGGUGCGGCCAAGCGGCGGCGGCGGCUCCAGCACCCGGCGCCUCCCCGGCCCCGAUCCCGCGGGGCACACGACCCCGCCUGGCCCCCGGCUGCCCACCGGGAGCCCCCGACCCGCCUCGCGCUGCCCUCGCCGGCACGGCCGCCGCGCUGCGCCUCGCCCCGACCGCCCCGUCCGCGGCUCCUCCGGUGCCGUGCCGCCACGCAGCGCUGCCCACCGGGACGCCUGCCCCCCCGUCCGCACCCCGCGGACGCCACCGGCUCCCCCCGACCCUGUGCCUCGAGGGCUCGCUGCCCCGUGCGCGUCCCCGCUGCCCCGUCCCAUAGGCGCUGCCCCAGAACCGGCUCUGCCACCGUUCCUCCUUCCGCUGCCCCCCGUUCACAACCGGGGGGUCCCAAACGGCCGCCCCCCUCUUUGCCGGAGCCCCAGCCCCUGGCCCAGGCGACCCCACAGCGGUGCGGGACCCCCCCCGCCCCCCGUUACAGGCGGCACCACGGGACCCCGCUCCCGGUGCCAGCCCCUCAGUGCGGUGCCAGCACAGGUCCCGGUGUGGCACCCAGCCCCGGUUCUGUUCCGGGACCGGUCCCGCUGGGGACGGCAGCGGCGCGCAGCCCGCCCCGUAACAGCGCCGCGCGUCCCGGGAGCCAGCUCCCGCCCCGGUGCGGGUGUGGAUGCAGGGACCCCGUUAUUGUGGGGCGGCUCAGCGCCAGCCCCGUAGCCGGGAUGUGCUGGGGCACGCUGCAACGGGGCUGCCUGGCCUGGAGGAAGGCCCAGAACAGGUACCGGGACCAGAUCCCCCGUCCCGGUGCAGGUACCGGGACCAGAGCAUCACCCCGGUGUGGGUCUGGUACUGGGUCCCCUGCCCCGGUGCAAGUCUGGUACCAGGCCCCAUCCCGGUGCCAGUAUCGGGACCCCCACCCCGGUGCGGGUGCCAGGACCAUAUCCCCCAACCCGGUGCAGGUACCGGGACCAGAGCAUCACCCCGGUGUGGGUCCGGUACCGGGUCCCCCUGCCCCAGUGCAAGUCCGGUACCGGGCCCCAUCCCGGUGCCAGCACCAGGACACCCACCCCAGUGCAGGUGCCGGGACCAGAGCAUCGUCCCGGUGUGGGUCCGGUACUGGGUCCCCCUGCCCUGGUGCAAGUGCGGGUACCGGGCCCCAUCCUGGUGCCGGUACCGGGUCCCCCAACCCGGUGCAAGUCCGGUACCGGGUUCCUCGACCCAGUGCCUGUCCAGUACCGGACCCCAUCCUGGUGCCAGUACUGGGACCCCCACCCCAGUGCAGGUGCCGGGACCAGAGCAUCAUCCCAGUGUGGAUCCGGUACCGGGUCCCUCUGCCCCGGUGCAAGUGCAGGUACUGGGCUCCAUCCCGGUGCUGGUACCGGUACCGGGUCCCCCGCCCCGGUGCAAGUCUGGUACCGGACCCCCUGCCCCGGUGCAAGUCCGGUACUGGGUCCCCCGUCCCGGUGCAAGUCCCGUACCGAGCCCCAUCCCGGUGCUGGCACCGGUACCGGAUCCUUCGCCCCGAUGCCUGUCCGGUACCCCCACCCCGGUGCAGGCCCAGGACCGGAGCCCCAUCCGGGUUCCGUUACCAGCCCCCCAGCCCCAGUGCCGGUACCGGCCCCCGUCCCGUU